UUUCCGGACAUUCUUGAUCGAAUUUUCUUCAUCGUCGGUAAAGGCAAGUGAAUGUAUUGUAUGACUAUGCUUUAACCUAAUAUUGGGUUGCCUACAUUCUUUAAUUACAGUGCAUUCAUCUAAUCUGAAUGACUGAUUCUGAGCUGGGUACUAUGUUGUUUACGUUUCCAGAAGUUUACUCGAUGAUUGAUUUAUGAAGUGCAGUAUGUUUAGAUGUUGACGUGCAUUUUGGGGAUGGAUCUUGGUAGCUGCACACACUACCUCAUCACCAUGUUGAUAGCUCAACCGGUGUUAUAAAUGGUGGUUUUGGUGGUCUGUCGUUUGCUUGGUUUAUGUCGUGGUAUGACGCUGGUAGCGUCGUGAAGGUUUCUAUAUAUAUAUGCCGGUUAUGUCAUAUACUGUCUGACUGUGAUCUCUUUUGGUCAGUUAUACCGUCCUAUAGAAGAAAUGCUGUCAAAAUUUUCUGUUUUCAUAUAAUUAGACUUAGUGGUAAAGUAGGGUGUUACAGCUUGGUAUCAGAGCCUAGGCUUUAGGUCCUAGGUAAUUGAAUGAUGAACCUGACACACUUGCACAAAUAGAAUGGGUAUGGGAUGCAUUGCAUUGCAUACGUCUUGCUUAUCUUUGUUUGCUUAUGUUCACUAUCUCAAAUAAGUAUUAUUGAAGUUACUUGUUUGAU